AUACGGAGGGUGCAAGCGUUGUUCGGAAUCAUUGGGCGUAAAGCGCGUGUAGGCGGCUUGGCAAGUCGGGCGUGAAAUCCCGGGGCUCAACCCCGGAACUGCACUCGAAACUGCUUGGCUAGAGUCCCGGAGAGGAAGGCGGAAUUCCCGGUGUAGAGGUGAAAUUCGUAGAUAUCGGGAGGAACACCAGCGGCGAAGGCGGCCUUCUGGACGGUGACUGACGCUGAGACGCGAAAGCGUGGGGAGCAAACAGGAUUAGAUACCCGAGUAGUCC
rnacentral:rRNA from 1 species